GCAGGAGCGCCGCGCCUAGGAGAUAAACAGAAGAAUCCACGGUUCCCAGGGGCGAGGCCGACGGGGAGAGAGCUGCGGUGCGGAGUAAAUGGAUAUCUAUUGACGACCUUCUAUGUCCUUGUCGGUGCUAGAUGAUGCCAAUACUGAGUCAUGACCCAGCAAAUGCCUUUAAGGAGCUCAUGAACUAGUACAGAAUUUACACAGCCUGGGAGGCAACUGGGGCCUUCUGGAAGUCAAAGAACAAACCAAGGACUCUGGACUGAACACAGAAGGCCUCUUUCAGACAACCACAGAGACAGCAAAGUGAGUUUGUGUGAGAUUACAGUCUUGAAAAUCAGCUUCUCUCACCUCCAGUCUCUCCCCAUUCUUCUCCCUGUCCCAGACCUGUUAUUACACUGAAGACAAAGAAACACCUGCUUUUCUCACAUUCUUCGAAGACCAAGCUGAGGUGAAGAGGGAACAUGCGAAGCAGUUCAUAAGAUAUCUAAAAAAAUAUAAGUGUAAAGUCUGCCUUCCGGUGAUUAAGAGGCUGGAUAUAGAAAACUGGGGAACUGGCAAAAAAGCUAUCGAGUCUGCCCUGCAGUUGGAGAAUACGUUAAGCAGCCUUCUGCAAGACCUGAAGGCCUUGGCUUCUCGGAAGAAACAAGCCAGUCUCGCACGUUUCAUGAAGAAGUUCCUGGAUGAACAGAUCAGGAACAUAAGCUAUCUGGAAUACCAGCUUGGCUAUCAGGAGGAAUUAGAGAAGAUGGCAAAGAAUGAAGGACAGGAUGAAAAGGCUGCUGUGGCAUCUGAAGCAUCAGGAGACAAGAGUGGCCAAGGUGGUGGAGUAGGAAGACCUUGAGUUCACCUCCUCCCAUGGGCACACCAAAAUUACAACUAUUUACAGAGCAACUAUUGAUGAGAAAGAUGUGAAGACUAGCAGAAGAAAUCCUUUCCCAGACUUUUUAUUUUCCACUGGCCAGAAUUGAAUCUGCUACUGGUUCCCCAGCUGCAAGGAGGAGCACCUGCCAUUUCCAACCUACAUCAUAGGAGCCAUGCUCUGCUAACAAGCAAAAGGCAGUACGUUGCCAACACACUCACUUUUACAUAUUGGUUGCCAGAACAAGAAAACCUCAUUUGAGGAGCCUCAUCUGACCUGAUUUGGACCACAAGAUGCCACACUAGCCUGAUACCAUAAUUAGAUGAGAUUUGGGACGUGUUACAUGUGGAAGGAAAGACAGGUCUUGUGACAUUUCUCACCAUUAGUAUGCGGCAGAAGUGAUACUGUACCAAUUCCAGGCCUGGACCACCCUUGCUUUCUCUGAUCAUGUCAACCAUGUGAACAUAUGUGGGCUACCUGCUGCAUGAUGACAGAUGCUCUGACCUUUUGCCGCAAGCGGAAGAUGUGAUUUUUAUAAGUGAAGUACAGUGGUCCCUUGGUGUCUGAGGGGGAUUGGUUCCAGGAGCUCCUGCAGAUACCAGAAUCUACAUGUUCAAGUCCUUCAUAUAAACUGGCAGAGUCCCAUUAGCUCUCCACACUGGUGGGUGUGGAGAGCCCACUGCAAAUGAUUCUAAUUUCAUGGCAUUCAGAAUAUGUAUCAUGAGAGUUAUCUGGGGACCAUUUUACAUGUAGGAAAUGCAGCAGACCCCUUAAGGUCCCAGAAUGACAGCCCAGUACUCUUUCUGUCUCUUUUUCUAAAGUGCUUGGCUUCUAUCCAUGAGAAGUUUUUUCAUCUUCUUUUAACUCCAUGGUCAUUUGCUAUUACAGCAGUGACCUCAUAGUUUAAUAUUUUCCUUUCAGAGUUUAUGUCUUGUGUAAAAGAUUUUAUGGUGGUGUAGUGAUUGCAAAAACAUUGGAAGCAAAGACAAAUUAGUUUAGCUAAGUGGUAACUGGGUUUAAAAGGAUUCCAUGUUGGGGAGAAAGCAGCUGAAAAUAAGGGUGUAACCAGGAGAAUGUAACAUUAGCUAUAUCCAGAGCUAUGAAACAGCAAAUUGUAUUGCCCUUUAACGCCCUUGCCCUUGACCUCUGCCCCUUGUUAAGUACUCAGAAGCUGAAACUGAGCCCUGGCAGCCUUGUAUUUCCCACAGCUAUUCUGCAGAACCCAAGCUGGAUGUGUCUUCUCUUUUCCAUCGUCAUAUUCUAUCAAGACUCAACCAUUAUGAUUUUUUCAUUCCCCUGCUUCCACUUCUAUCUCUUCUUAUUAGGAAGGAGCUCACAAGCCAACACACAUGUGGUCGUGCAUGUAAGUGAUUCUGGGAAUUUCUUUCCUCCACAGAAGCAGAUGAUGACUAUCCACCCCGUGAGUGUCCUGUCUGUCACUGCCAAAUCUGUCCCUGGAAUUUAUGUUAAAAAGUAGCAAAGAAGGUAGAACCUAAGAGGUGGGAGGAGAAAGGAAAGAGGUUAGUUAACCUUCAAAAUAAAGAGAUGAGAGAAUUUUGGAAAUUUAGAGCAAAUGAAAGGUGCUAGAGUAUUGCAGGAAUAAGAUAACUGGAAAAGGGGAAAAAGGUAAAAGCAUUCUUGCUGGGAGGGUGAAAGAACCAACUUUAAUACGUUUUUAAAAGCACCAAAAUUAGAAUGUAAUUCCAUUUUUAUCAGUAAUAGAUAUUUGAUCUGUGCUUCUAUGAAUGAGACAGUACACCCAGUGGACUAGAGGUUAAAAGGGUUACACACUAAGUUUAGGGUGACCAACUCAUCUCAAUUUGCCUAAGAUUUCCUCAGUUUUAGCACUGAAAUGUUCACAUCCUGGGACUUCACGCUUUGUCAAACUGGGAUGGCUUGUUACCCCAAGUCAUUAGUAACUAAUAAUGGCUUCACAUGUUACGUUUCUUGAGAGUAGAGUAAACUCCUGUUUUUCCUGAGAAUGAUUGCUAAGGAUGAAGAGGAAACUAUAAUAGGUGUUUGCAGAGAAAAGGAAGAGGGAAAAAGGAGAAGGGGAAAAGGAAGAAGGAUGAAACAGAGUGUUUGUGAGUUUAUAAGGGGAGAGUCUUGAUUUAAAGCAGUCGUUCUUAACCAGAAGUCAUUCUAUCUUCCAGGGGGUUUUUGGCAACAUCUGGAGAUAGUUUUGUUUGUCACAGUUGACUUCUACUGGCAUCUAGUGAAUAGAGGGCAGGGAUUCUGCUAAACAUUCUACAAAGCACAGGAUAGCCUCCCACAGCAAAGAAUCAUCCAGCCCUAAAGGAAUGAGUCAUUAAUCCCAGACUAAGACACAUCCGAAAAGUGUAUAGGAGGGGGGUUGGCGAUGCCAUCACAACAUAUAUAGCGUGACACUGAAAAACUGAUUUUCAGGUGUCUAAAAUGGUAGUGCUGACUUUCCUGACUACAGAUCUUAUACUUGCCCAUCCAUGUCGUGAACCUUCUAAGAGAUGGACCAAAUCUGUAUUGGUGCCCCCAAAGACUAGAUCAUCCCAAUCCUUGGAAAUCAUAUGUACAUAGUAAGUGUUGGUGAGUUAAUAUUAGAAUGAAACACUGUUGGAUAUGGACAAAAUGGAAAAGAAAAAUAAGAUUUAAGCAUGGAAGAUUUAUACUACUGCUCUGCUAAAAGUUAUUUUUCAAGGAGGAAAAGAAAUCAUUCUUCUAGACCUGGGAUUAGUAAAGAUUAUACAUUUGAUGCCUAGCUCAUAUUGGACACUCAGACAUUUGUCUAACAAAUCAAAUGUUGAGUAAGAUGUCCCAAAUUAAGUUGAUGUUAAUGUUUAGAUUUUUUCCUUCUGAAGGGUCAUACCACUCUUUAUGUCAGCAUUCAGUUUCUCUGCUUCUGUCUUCAACCCUUAAAAGAAAUAGUGAAUUGCCCUGAUACUCCCUAACAUGCCCCCAAAGGCAUGACCAUGUUUGUACAGAGCUGCAUUCUCCUGUGAGCCGUGUGGAUGGAGUUUGCACUGGUUGUCACAGUCCUGCUUUCUCUGGAAGCUUUGUGGAGGAGGGUGGAUGGGGUGUGGGUUUCAGUCUUCUUUGAAAAAGACGUGGGAUGAUAUGUUGGACUUAAUUUCGGCUUUUUACUGCUGGCUAAGCCUGCCACAGGUUUAACCAGGGUUAUCAAUAGAACAGAAUUCUAGAAUCACAAAAACUUUAGGCUGGAGGAAUGCUCAUAAUAUCAUUUUGUCUAAUUUCCUGUCUCUUGGACAUAAUGUGGCAUGAUUCUUAUUUUAUUGAUUGAUUGAUUGAUUGAUUGAUUGAUUGAUUGAUGAAGCACUUAGGGUUUAAAUAACUUUCCCAAAGUCACUUUCCAAAAGUGGCUUUUCUAAAGAAUAUGAAAGCCUCCCAACUUACCACUCUAAUUGAAAUUAAGACUGAUAUGUUGUUUAUAAUUUUAACAUUUAUUGUAUUAGAAAACUGAGAAAAAUUUUAAAUAUUUAUAUAUAUAUAUUAUUAACAUGCUUAAAACAACAAAAAUAAGCCAGUUACCUAUUAUCAUUAUGUAAACUUUUCAAAAGUAACUAUUCUCUCCAAAAACAAACAAACAAAAAAGACAGUGAGAAGAGUGACAUUGUUUUACAUUUUUGCAAAUCUCUUUAAUGUUUACCUUAAUAGACAACAGGAUUCUCAUAUCUGCACUUACAUUCAUUCUUGCUCGAUACUGUUUCGAUUGAAAUAAAUGAAGAAACUCCAGCCAUACACAGUCAGAGUAAUUUACCUUCUAUGUAACCCUGGAGAAAACAUUCUGGUUUGGGGGAACUGGAGCAAGAACAAUGGGAACUGGAAAUGACUGCAAUUCCACGAUGGAGUCCUAGAAAAUGGAAUUGCUGGUUUGAACGAUACACGCAUUUACAGCAGACUGGAGUUUGGAACUGCAGAGAAGCCUUUGUGCCACUCUCAGCCCACUGUAAUGACUCCACUUUGCACUGUGCUUCAGGAAUCCAGUGGAGCAUAGUUUUUUUUUAAGCAUGCAUUUCUGAACAUGAAAUAUAAAGCAGUAAAUUAUUUGAGUACAGGUUCACAUAUCCUAUGGUACAGGAAAAAUGGGGUGUGAGAGGAUGGCCGUGUCCCAGGUCUCAGGUGAGUGCCUGGGACAUGCCCUGCCAAGUGAGGGGCCUUGGCUUUGCACAGGAAAGAAUUCUAGAGCAAGGUGUACUUGAGUAAAAGUUGAUUUAUUCAGAGAGAUGCAAACUCCAUUGACUGAGUUUAGUUUAUCCCAGAAGGCUAGAAAGGCCAAGAGGCAUGGGGGUGGGUAUUUAGUUUAAAGUAAAAGUAGGCACACACUCCAUAGACAGAGUGCAGGCCAUCUCACUUAGAAGGGAGAGCAGCCUUGGCCAUGAGGUGCGGGGGUUGUUAGUUUAUAUGAGCUCAGUUAAUUCAUAAGCUAACAAGUGAGAGGACUAUUCCAACUACUUUGGGGGAGGGGCUGGGAUUCCCAGGAACUGGGCCACCACCUACUUUUGGACCUUCUAUGGCCAGCCUGGGAGGUGUCAUGGCACCUGGGCAAGUGCCAUUUAGUAUGUAUAUAGUAUGUAUAAUAUAUAUAUAUAUAUAUUACAACAAGGGUACAACAAGGGUAUAUUACAACAAGGGUCUCCUGAAAGUCAAAUCUCCUGCCGUCUUGGGCCUCAAGGUCUACUGGGAGUUGAAUCUUUCACCAUCUUGGUGUUAACUGCUGUGUCAUUCCUUUAAAUGCUCCCUUCCCUCCUAUCUCACCUAUGCCCACAAUUCCACUUUAUCCAUCUUAGAACAACACUCUCAUGACGUGAAAUAGCAUAAGGUCAGCUCUGUAACCAGCUAAGAUGAGAGAAAGGUGUUAGCUAAAACUGUUAAGUAAAAUUAAUGGGCUAAGUGAGUACUGUUACCUGCAUAUUCUGACAGAAUGAUCAGUCACGGGACUAGAAGUUAGGAGAGCAUCUCCACAGAUAGAAGGGGAGGCGGGGACAUCUCCCUCCUCUCCUGAGAUGGGGCAUGGCAGCCGGGGCAGUGGUCCAAGGCUUCUAGCACAUCUCAGGAUUGAAUGAGAGUUCUGAGCAAGCGGCUUGGGAUGCAGCAGUUUUGCAGACAGCCCCCUUAAACUCCAGGGGGCGUCCUUCUGUCUGUGCAGCAACCAGAAGGGCUGCCCUCUUUGUUCACGGGGUAAUGAGGAGUCAGCUUAGAAUCUCAGUCCUUUCCCUCCAGGUCCUCUCUCCUAGGUCACUUGGCUGGGGACCAAACUGUCUUUGGGGGAGGAAAGUUAAGGAACUUUAAUUAGGGUUUUGAAAUUCAAAUCCAACACAACCUUUUACAUUUGAUAACAAUCACCAAAUUGCCUUCAAAAAAGAAAGUUCUUUACACUUCCUUGCAGUUUCCUUGUCACCUUUGAUGGAAACUCACUAAUCUCAUUAAUCUUUUUAGUUUUUGCCAAUCUGAUUUCUCCUUGUUGUCUCCAUUUCCUUACACAAUGUGAUGAUUAAAAAGACACUAAAAUUUUUGCA